rnacentral:rRNA from 1 species
UUCCAGCUCCAAUAGCGUAUAUUAAAGUUGUUGCAGUUAAAAAGCUCGUAGUUGGAUUUCUGGGGGGCGCGUUGGGUCCGCCCGGCAACGGGUGCGCACUUUUGACGUCCGUCUCCCAUCCUCGCGAAGAGCGGCCUCGGCAUUAACUUGUCGCGGGCCGGGACUCGCGUCGUUUACUGUGAACAAAUUAGAGUGUUUAAAGCAGGCGUUUGCUGUGAAUACAUUAGCAUGGAAUAAUAAGAUAGGACUUUGGUGCUAUUUUGUUGGUUUGCACACCAAGGUAAUGAUUAACAGGGACAGUUGGGGGUAUUCGUAUUUAAUUGUCAGAGGUGAAAUUCUUGGAUUUACGGAAGACGAACGACUGCGAAAGCAUUUACCAAGGAUGUUUUCAUUA